rnacentral:rRNA from 1 species
UCGAGAAUCUUUCGCAAUGGACGAAAGUCUGACGAAGCGACGCCGCGUGAGCGAAGAAGGCCUUCGGGUUGUAAAGCUCUGUCACAAGGGAAGAAACACAUAGUAGCUAAUACCUAUUAUGUUUGACGGUACCUUGAGAGGAAGCCCCGGCUAACUCCGUGCCAGCAGCCGCGGUAAUACGGAGGGGGCUAGCGUUGUUCGGAUUUACUGGGUGUAAAGGGCGCGUAGGUGGUAUUUUAAGUUGGAUGUGAAAUCCCUCAGCUCAACUGAGGAAUAGCAUUCAAAACUGAAAUGCUGGAGUGCAGAAGGGGAAAGCGGAAUUCCUGGUGUAGCGGUGAAAUGCGUAGAUAUCAGGAGGAACGCCGGUGGCGAAAGCGGCUUUCUGGUCUUGCACUGACACUGAGGCGCGAAAGCUAGGGGAGCAAACGGG